GUGCCUGUGAUGAUUCAUUUUAAAAAUGUUGGAAUUACCGACUGAUUUUUUUG
rnacentral:sRNA from 1 species